AGGGCUGGGCUUGUGUUAUGACUGGAAGAGCCCUGGUUUUGCUUGUUAAAGCUGAAGGAUUGGGCUUUGGUUUUUUGUUUGUUUUGUCUUUGUUUGAGGAAGGCUUGGAAUGGGUGAUGUGUUAAGGAGCUGGAAAGUCCUUUGACUAUGCUUCAGGCCAGGCCUGGUUGCAAGGGCCUUACUAGUUUGCAGAUCUUCAGAGCCAGGUGGACAGUGUCUCUGCUUACUGCAGUUCAGGCCUGACUUCAAGCUGCGAGGCUAAAGUGGGAGUUGCAGAAUAGGCUUUUGAAGCUGGGUGAAGAGACCUGGGAAGUCUGCAGUCUGCUGGAGGCUGGAAACUUCAUGGAACAGACUGACCAAAGAAUUGUCAGCUGUUGCUUAACUAAGGCAGUGGAAGAUGGACAGCCAUCCCAGGUGCCUUUGUAACAAGAGACCAGAGUCGCAUGCAACUGCUCUUCUCUCCAGCAGUGGGCCAGCCACCUGUUCCCCAAACCUUGGGACUUGUCAGGCUGUGAAGAGAUGAGCCUGCAGCCCUUCAGGGAUCAGGACUUCUUUUGCAGGCUUGGACAAAGACUUAAGGUACAGUCAUGGUUCCCAUAAUUGCCACCCCUCAGUUGAGAAAAGGAGCAGGUGACCUGUUCAGUCUGAUGCCUUAUUGUUACAUGCCAAAGCAAGAGAACUCAUGCUUGUUGCAGUGCAUGUCCAGCAAACCACAAGAGCACAACAAAUUCUCACUUGCACCAACUGGGGAAACUUAGGAGGGAGGUAGCACGCACUGGCAGCAGCUGACUUAGAAUCUGGGAAGUUCUCGAACUUUCCCUUGUAGUCUGUGCCCUGUGUUUAGAGACAGCUUGUUCCAGUACCAUCGCAAAGGCUGUGACCUGUUUUUAUUGACAUUGCUUGGUUUCCCUGGAACCUCUUGGAACUGAAGCAAAGCAGUUUUUGUAUGGAUUGUGAAGGUGUCAGUUAGGUGGGGUUUUCACCUUUCUGUGCAAGAUGCAGAACCCUCCCUUCCAGAACUGUAUCUUUCCCCACACCAUCGUGGAACGCUGCUGCUGCUGUUGCCUGCACCUAUUGUGUGUUCUUCUCGCCUCUGACUUAUGGUCUAUGCUGACAAAGCUGCUAGAAUUAUGGAAAAGAAAAAAGCUUUGUUGCAAGGAACUGGACACGUGGGUAGAUACAUUUUCCUCUAACAGAUGCAUCUGGUUAGAUCAGUUGCUGUUACUAAGGCUUUCAAGCCAAAGGCAUGAUGCUGUGUAUUGGGAUGGUCUACUUAAGUAUGCCAUCAUUUAGGCCAUUUGCUCUAUUUGCUUUGGCUUAGUUGGAUGAGUUGACUUAUUCCUUUCCUUGACUGAUGAAACAACGCUAAUAUCUGUAAGGCUCACUUGGUCUCACAAACAGUUUGGACGCCUCCUGCUUGAGCCAUGCUAUUGUAGUAUGGCAUAAGAAUUGCAAAUGGCCAUGAUGGGCCCGAAGGGAGGAUUACCAUAUGGAGUUAGCAAGAACACCUUAUCACUUGGAGACUAACUGGCUAUUUAUAUAAAAUAGGUGGUGGGGUACUACAGCUGUUGCCUUCAGCUACUAUUAACACGUUCCGAGAGACAACUCCUUGUUCCUCGUCUAGCGCGUUACUGUUGGCCUCAACCAAGAGACUUCCUUCUUUUUUUUCCAGGCUAUGGCUUGGUAGUGUGUAGAUUAUGCUGCUCUAGAUUAGCAUAAGCACAUAGUAUCCCCAAUACCAACUUGUGCAAGGUCCACUGUCUGCACCUGUCAUUGUGUGGCUCCAGUUACUGACCACAGCUCUGGCCUGCACAUCAGCAACCAGCUCUGGGAUCCAGAAACUAGACUGUUCAGUCUUCCCUAAGGCCAUGAGAUCUGGUGGGUCCCAGGUUAUCCUGCACAGUCCCUGCAGGAGAGACUGCCUACUAUGGUGGUGUCCUCAAUGGUGAAGGCUGCUGCCUGUCAAUGUGAUCUACAGACCUGCCUCAGGGACCCUUGCUGCCAGUUACCCUCAAGCUGUCUGCCAAGCUAAGCUUAUUGCUGGAAGAGGUGGAGGUUAGAGCAGGACAUGGACUACAGCUCCAGACCAAGACCGCACUGAGUCCAGCUAACGAAGUGGGACCCAGACGGCCUUGUGCUGAUGUCUCUGGCCACCUGAUGGAAGUUCUGGCUGCAUGGCCAAGUCCUGGAAGAAGGUAAUGACCUGGCUCAUCCACAAAAACAGUGAGCCUGACCAUGUGCAUCCCUGAAGGGCCCAUCACCCUUUGCUCCACCAUAUUUAAAUGUAAACAAUAUGCUGGGCCACAACACAGCUCAGAUCAUGGACUGGGCAGUGAAUGGGUGGAUUGUAGCCUGAACCAGAAAGCUUUCAUGUCCAGCGAGGGCUGUUGAAUGCACCUUGGCUGCUGAUGACCCACGACAGCACCCAGACAGCAAGGUGUCCACGUGGAGAUCAGUGCAGGCCUCUGGCUCAGUGCCUUAGCCAUGCGUCUUCCAGGAGCUGGGAUAUCAGGCCAGAUGUCCACACAUGGUCCCCAAGGCCUACAACAGCUACACUGUCACUUCCUGAUCAUAAUGGUGAAAUGCUGUUCCGAACUUGAAAUGAGGCUGCCUCCCAAGUCCCACCAUUGGAGGCUUACCAAGGGCUCAGGACCAAAAGCUAAACCUCCUGGCUUCUGAGGGUGACUUGAUGAACUCCAGUCAGCUGCCUCACAGCUGUUGUCCAGCACCUUCAGAACAGAGCUUUUGUUCCCCUCCAGUCCAAGGUGCCCAUAUACAUCAUCACCUCUGGAAAGAGAAACUUAUGGCCCCCGGUAACAGGAUCCCGGGUGAGCCCAUGAGAUACAUGAAGGGUAGUGAGGCUUACCUCAGCCUUGGCUCAGACAUGGAUCACUGUGCAAAUGGAUGUGGGAGAAAAUCAUGCUGGGGACCAAUUAGGAUGCCUACCAAUUGGACUAAUCUGUAGGUACCCUGGAAGAAGAUGCAGGGAGUACCUUGUCUCUGGCUGCAGCUUUUGGCCCUGUUCCAUCUCAACAGCAGCUUCCAGUUCCAGUGCUGACCCCCUGAUACCCCCAGUCCCUAGGAAACCAGUUUGGACUGCCCUCCAUGCUUCAAGUAUCCAAUCAUUAGGCCAGACCACCAAUGCCUCGGUCCCAACUUUUCACCUGGACCAGUCUUUUUGGAGCUGUGGGGCAGGACCCAAAGUAGAAAUACAAACUCCGUUCUGCCCGAGAAUCCCUGCAAGCCCUCCAACCCCCUGAAUCCCAAGAAAUGAUGGCCCAUCUCCAGCAGGCAGUUCAGCAGCUCCAGGCACUGUUUGAACAGCUAGAGGGGAAAAACCAGAGCUGUUGGACUGCCUGGAAGGGGCACAGGCUAAAGCUGGAGCCUGGCAAAUGCUGAGCAAAACCAUCCCCAAGAGAUGAAGCAACAAUUGAGCCUCGGCUGGGGCCCUGCUGUCAGAAGACUGCUGCUGCUAGCACAAGUCCCACUCCCAGUGCACUUGAGCCAGAUCCAAAGAAGUGUUUUGGGAUUCCUGGAUCAGUGUUGCCUGCUCUUUCCACUGUGCCCCAUCAUCUGUUCCACAGACCAGGCCAAGAUGGGACUAAUGGUUGGCCUGCUUGAAGGGAGAAGUCCUGACCUGGGCUUCCUUGCUCCUUGAGGGCUUCAGUCUUUCAAAUGUCCAUCCAAGCCUUACAAGGAAGAAGUCCCAUAGGCACCUGCUCACCCCUUGCAGUUCAUCUCUGCCAAAAUAGCCCCCUAAAAUCUUCAGCAUGGCAGCCAGCUAAAGCCCACAGUUGCUCAGGUCAGUGGUAGGCCCCUGGCCUCAAGUGGAAUGAGGUGAUUGAAGUUGUGGCAAUUCUGCCAGAGGCUUAGUGAGGAGCUGAAGGAUGAACUUGUUCCUGUUGAGUCCCCUGCUUGCUUGGGGCCCUUGACUGAGCUCUUUGUGGAUCUACCACUGCCUUCCAGAGGAGUGUGUGGAAAAGAUGGCCAUGAGAGGGGACCCCACACCACAAUCCCAGGUCUCCUGGUGCCCCAGGAAGAUCUACUGCUCUAGAAAUCCAGGGAACUGUAUCUGUGGGAGACCUAGAAGAACCAGCUGUGAGCUUUGGGCCUCUGCUAGUCUUGUGGAGCACAAGGACCUUGCCCAUGCCAUGUGGUUAGCAGUACAGCUGGCAGUCCUUGUGGGCUUGGGUGCUAUGGACAACUUAAUGGACAAGUGUUUCUGCAAAGAGAGGUGCAUUUUUAAAGGGUUGAUUUGAAAGGGAGGGAGUGAAGACAAGGGUGGAAAGUGGCACAGGAGUGGUCAUGCUUUUAUUUAUAUUUUAGAUGGUGCCCAAGAUGUUUUACCCUUGGGCUUUACUGACCACUUCAUGCUAAAAGGGGUGGUGGGUAUGGAGAAAUGUUGUGUAAUGAUGGGUCUUCUAGAAAUACAAAUACGUGGUUGGAGGAGUGUAGGGGCUGUAGAGAGCUCUUGUAAGGGGUGGCGGGCACUGUAAAUCUGUGUUAAGAAUAUGUGGGAAUGGUGGCGCACAGUGCUGAUGUCUCAGCAGUAUGUGCAUAGUGCUGAAGGAAAGGAACUGAGCAGUUUGUCAUGAGAGCGGGUGGUAGAGGAUGAGGUCAAGGAGGGAGAGCUUGAGGUGAAGUUGUGCUCCAGUGCCUCUUAAUGCCUGUGGAGUGGGGCAGGGCAUUCGGGACUGACCUGGAUGUCAUCAAGAGGGCCACAGGAAAGGCUUGGUUUGUUUUAUUCAUGUCCCGUGAACAGAGGGCUGGUCUUGCUACUGUUGGAUAGGCGUAAGGACUUGGCUGUUAAAAGGGCGCAGCAGUACACUAGACUGCUGAGGGAAGUUGUGGAGCCUUCAUCACUGGGGGUGUUGAAAAAGAGGUCGGGUAAACAUUGAUCAGGAAUGAUCUAGGAGUAACUGUGCCUAUGCUUUACUCUGCUUGUGUCUCAUGAGGCAACCAGUGAAGCCCAGAAGCAUGAAGCUGGGAAAGACUCUUUUCUUUGUCCUUUGCUGUGUGUUGUGGUAGGCAUAUUCCUUCCUCAGGAGCGCUGAGCGACUGUCACCAAGGCUGGAGACUGCCAAUACUCCUUCCUCAAGUAAAACCUGUAGGUUCCUGGCUAGAGGGACUUGCCCCUUUGCUCAGGGUCAAGCUGGUCACCCAGUUUGAGGUCAGGAAGAAGUUUUACCCCUUGGUCAGAUGGGUACAGAUUGUGGGGAUGAGUGCCUUCUUGUAGCAGAGGCAUGGACCUCUUCCUUGUGUGCCAUUCAGCAUCUUUUAACAACCCUUGCAGAAGGAGGACAUGGGUUACUAUUGCCACAGGCGAAGCAAAAGGACAUCUUGGGGUCGUAUGAUUUGUGGGUGUGUGACAAUGCGAUUGGUUUAGUUCUAGUAGUAAUAUGGUACUGUGGGUAGAGAUGACUCUGCCUUGGGCAGGGGCUGGACUAGAGGACCUCUUGUGGUCCCUGCCAGCUCUGUCUUUCCGUCUUUUGAGGAAGAAGUGGUACCCUGAUCAGAAUGCCCCUGUGGAGAAGGGGAUGAUCAUUGGAAGCCAUGCAAAGAUUUCACCAUGGGAUGUUGAGAGGAGGGAUGUGGGCAUGGUAAUGCAGCCAUCUUAAUGGUGAUCCCUACUGUGCCUUCAGGUUAUUCCUGCUGCCUCGCUAUUCGCUGCUCUUUGCCUUAAUGCUCUUUCUAAUGACAUGCCCCGUGACUUGUUUCUUGCUAGAGGAUGUUUUGAUCUUCAUGUAGGCUGUACAGCACGCUUUCUGCCUUCUAUUUUUUUAUUAAGGAAAUAUUAAAUAUUUCUUUAUCUCUCCA